rnacentral:rRNA from 1 species
UCAUUGGGUUUAAAGGGUGCGUAGGCGGCUUGUUAAGUCAGUGGUGAAAUAUCCGAGCUUAACUUGGAAACUGCCAUUGAUACUAUUAGUCUUGAAUGUUGUGGAGGUAGGCGGAAUAUGUCAUGUAGCGGUGAAAUGCAUAGAUAUGACACAGAACACCAAUUGCGAAGGCAGCUGAUUACACAAAUAUUGACGCUGAGGCACGAAAGCGUGGGGAUCAAACAGGAUUAGAUACCCUGGUAGUCCACGCCCUAAACGAUGAUUACUCGAACUUUGCGAUACACAGUCAGUGUCUAAGCGAAAGCGUUAAGUAAUCCACCUGGGAAGUACGCCCGCAAGGUUAAACUCAAAGGAAUUGACGGGGGUCCGCACAAGCGGGGAGCAUGUGGUUUAAUUCGAUGCUACGCGAGGAACCUUA